rnacentral:rRNA from 1 species
UGCCAGCCGCCGCGGUAAUACGGAGGGUGCAAACGUUAAUCGGAAUUACUGGGCGUAAAGCGCGCGUAGGCGGUUUUGUAAGUGGGAUGUGAAAGCCCAGGGCUCAACCCUGGAACUGCAUUCCAAACUGCAAAACUAGAAUACGAUAGAGGGGGGUAGAAUUCAGAGUGUAGCGGUGAAAUGCGUAGAUAUUCUGAGGAAUACCGGUGGCGAAGGCGGCCCCCUGGAUUGAUAUUGAAGCGGAGGUGAGAAAGCGUGGAGCGCAAACAGUAGUAGAUA